GGACAGCUUAGCUUAUCAAGUGGUUCUGCUUUAACUUUUGGGCUUAUGCAAUUUGCCUUAUCGGAAUUUGAAUUGAUGGCAGAUGAGCUAUUGAUGAGUGACUCAAUAAUUAAGAUCUAUGGGGCUUUGCGGAUGUCUGUGAAAAUCCACUUGAUGUUGAAUUCCAAAAUGCUUAUAGAUGGUGAAGGUGAUGCAAAUGUUGCAACAUCUUUACUUGAGGCUAGCAAUUUAAUUAGUGGUUCUAAAGGGUUCAUCCAUUAUAGAUUCAAACGCAAACUUGGGAGUUCAUGGAUAAGGUUCAUUGAACUUAUCUGGACCUGGAGAGAUUGAGG